rnacentral:rRNA from 1 species
CAGUCGCCGCGGGAAUACGAAGGGGGCUAGCGUUGCUCGGAAUUACUGGGCGUAAAGGGAGCGUAGGCGGACAUUUAAGUCAGGGGUGAAAUCCCAGAGCUCAACUCUGGAACUGCCUUUGAUACUGGGUGUCUUGAGUGUGAUAGAGGUAUGUGGAACUCCGAGUGUAGAGGUGAAAUUCGUAGAUAUUCGGAAGAACACCAGUGGCGAAGGCGACAUACUGGAUCAUUACUGACGCUGAGGCUCGAAAGCGUGGGGAGCAAACAGGAUUAGAUACCCCCGUAGUCCCUGUCUCUUAUAC